rnacentral:rRNA from 1 species
AUUACGAACGCCGGGCUGCGCGCCUACCGGGAGGUGCUGCGGCUGGUGCGCCGGCUGCCUGCCGACGCGCGGCCCUACUACGCGAAGUACGCCCGCGAGAACUUCGUCAACUACCGCCACCUUUCCGCCGACGACGACCUCGCCGACCUCCUCCGCCGCGCGCAUGCCCACUCCGCCUGGGUCCUCUCCAAGUACUCCAUCGACGCCGCGGAGGCGGCAGGGCGGCUCAAGGAGAUCUGCGGCGAGUGA